rnacentral:tRNA from 1 species
GCCUUCGUGGUGUAAUGGUCAGCACACUGAGCCGGUAAUUCAGAGGUCCUCGGUUCGAUCCCCGGCGAAGGCA